rnacentral:rRNA from 1 species
GACGAACCGAGCGAACGUUGUUCGGAAUCACUGGGCUUAAAGGGCGCGUAGGCGGGCUGCCCAGUCUGGGGUGAAAUCCUCCGGCUCAACCGGGGAACGGCCCCGGAUACUGGCGGCCUCGAGGGGGGUAGGGGCGGGCGGAACUGUGGGUGGAGCGGUGAAAUGCGUUGAGAUCCACAGGAACUCCGGUGGCGAAGGCGGCCCGCUGGACCCCACCUGACGCUGAGGCGCGAAAGCCAGGGGAGCGAACGGG